rnacentral:rRNA from 1 species
UUUAAAUUGAGAGUUUGAUCCUGGCUCAGGAUGAACGCUGGCGGCGUGCUUAACACAUGCAAGUCGAGCGAUGAAGUUUCCUUCGGGAAAUGGAUUAGCGGCGGACGGGUGAGUAACACGUGGGUAACCUGCCUCAUAGAGUGGAAUAGCCUUCCGAAAGGAAGAUUAAUACCGCAUAAUGUUGAAAGAUGGCAUCAUCAUUUAACCAAAGGAGCAAUCCGCUAUGAGAUGGACCCGCGGCGCAUUAGCUAGUUGGUGGGGUAACGGCCUACCAAGGCGACGAUGCGUAGCCGACCUGAGAGGGUGAUCGGCCACAUUGGGACUGAGACACGGCCCAGACUCUUACGGGAGGCAGCAGUGGGGAAUAUUGCACAAUGGGGGAAACCCUGAUGCAGCAACGCCGCGUGAGUGAUGAAGGUUUUCGGAUCGUAAAGCUCUGUCUUUGGGGAAGAUAAUGACGGUACCCAAGGAGGAAGCCACGGCUAACUACGUGCCAGCAGCCGCGGUAAUACGGAGGUGGCGAGCGUUAUCCGGAUUUACUGGGCGUAAAGGGAGCGUAGGCGGAUGAUUAAGUGGGAUGUGAAAUACCCGGGCUCAACUUGGGUGCUGCAUUCCAAACUGGUUAUCUAGAGUGCAGGAGAGGAGAGUGGAAUUCCUAGUGUAGCGGUGAAAUGCGUAGAGAUUAGGAAGAACACCAGUGGCGAAGGCGACUCUCUGGACUGUAACUG